rnacentral:rRNA from 1 species
GACGGAGGAUGCAAGCGUUAUCCGGAAUCACUGGGCGUAAAGCGUCUGUAGGUGGUUUAAUAAGUCAACUGUUAAAUCUUGAGGCUCAACCUCAAAAUCGCAGUCGAAACUAUUAGGCUAGAGUAUAGUAGGGGUAAAGGGAAUUUCCAGUGGAGCGGUGAAAUGCGUAGAGAUUGGAAAGAACACCGAUGGCGAAGGCGCUUUACUGGGCUAUUACUAACGCUCAGAGACGAAAGCUAGGGUAGCAAAUGGG